AUUGAACGCUGGCGGCAGGCCUAACACAUGCAAGUCGAGCGGAUGAAGGGAGCUUGCUCCUGGAUUCAGCGGCGGACGGGUGAGUAAUGCCUAGGAAUCUGCCUGGUAGUGGGGGAUAACGUCCGGAAACGGGCGCUAAUACCGCAUACGUCCUGAGGGAGAAAGUGGGGGAUCUUCGGACAUCACGCUAUCAGAUGAGCCUAGGUCGGAUUAGCUAGUUGGUGGGGUAAAGGCCUACCAAGGCGACGAUCCGUAACUGGUCUGAGAGGAUGAUCAGUCACACUGGAACUGAGACACGGUCCAGACUCCUACGGGAGGCAGCAGUGGGGAAUAUUGGACAAUGGGCGAAAGCCUGAUCCAGCCAUGCCGCGUGUGUGAAGAAGGUCUUCGGAUUGUAAAGCACUCUAAGUUGGGAGGAAGGGCAGUAAGUUAAUACCUUGCUGUUUUGACGUUACCAACAGAAUAAGCACCGGCUAACUUCGUG
rnacentral:rRNA from 1 species